GGAUUAGAUACCCUGGUAGUCCAUGCUGUAAACGAUGGAUGCUAGAUGUCAGGGGGUAAAACCUUUGGUGUCGCAGUUAACGCAAUAAGCAUCCCGCCUGGGGAGUACGAUCGCAAGAUUAAAACUCAAAGGAAUUGACGGGGACCCGCACAAGCGGUGGAGUAUGUGGUUUAAUUCGAAGCUACGCGCAGAACCUUACCAGCUCUUGACAUGUUGCGUUUAUGGAUCAGAGAUGAUUUAUUUCACUUCGGGUGGCGCAAACACAGGUGCUGCAUGGCUGUCGUCAGCUCGUGCCG
rnacentral:rRNA from 1 species